UACAGAGGUGGCAAGCGUUGUUCGGAAUUACUGGGCGUAAAGGGCGCGUAGGCGGCCUUGUAAGUCCUGUGUGAAAUCCCCCGGCUCAACCGGGGAACUGCACAGGAGACUGCUUGGCUUGAGUUCGGGAGAGGGAAGCGGAAUUCCGGGUGUAGCGGUGAAAUGCGUAGAUAUCCGGAGGAACACCGGUGGCGAAGGCGGCUUCCUGGACCGACACUGACGCUGAGGCGCGAAAGCCAGGGGAGCAAACGGG
rnacentral:misc_RNA from 1 species